ACAAGGUCGGGCAGGUCUGGAAACAGUGGUGAGAUCCUCCUGCCUCAGCCUCCAGAGUGUGGGAUAAAAGGCAUGAGCCACCAUGCCUGACUGCAGGACACUCUUGAGAGGAAAACAGAGUGACCUCACAGUACAGGCCAGCACAAUCUCCCUGAAUCUGCACCACCGACCUCUCAGGCUGGAAACUCUCAGAUCUGAUUCAUGGGUGAGGAAAUGCAAGAUUCAGAGAAGCCAGACCACUCCUGCUGGGUCACACUGCUAGCGCCAUUCCUUCCAGAUUCUUCUAGAUUAGUUCCAAGUUUGUUCCUACCUCAGGGCCUUCACAACCAAAGGAAAGGCAGAAUUUCCCAACACCUUCUGGGCUGAGGACAAAAGAGUUCUCAUAGGAGGCCCUUUGUGAUGUCAUUAAGAGACUCAUCGCUGGUGAUAUUAACCUUCCUCCCGUGGUUAAAUCGAUGCCAGGAUCCUCCACCGUGAAGUUAUUUUUGGAAGCCCCGCCCCCCCAGCACUGGGCCUUCACAAUGAGCUACAUCCUCG